rnacentral:misc_RNA from 1 species
GCGAGUUUCAAACUCCCAACCCUCGUGGACAUACCAAACGUUGCUUCGGCGGGGCGCCCUAAAGCGCAGCCUCUCUCGGGAGGCGCCCGCCGGCCGCACGCACUAAACUCUGUUUUAUAGUCGCAUUCUGAGUAGACGACAAAUAAGUCA